rnacentral:rRNA from 1 species
AUUGAACGCUGGCGGCAUGCUUUACACAUGCAAGUCGAACGGUAACAGGCCGCAAGGUGCUGACGAGUGGCGAACGGGUGAGUAAUGCAUCGGAACGUGCCCAGUCGUGGGGGAUAACGCAGCGAAAGGUGCGCUAAUACCGCAUACGAUCUAUGGGUGAAAGCGGGGGACCGUAAGGCCUCGCGCGAUUGGAGCGGCCGAUGUCAGAUUAGGUAGUUGGGGGGGUAAAGGCCUACCAAGCCAACGAUCUGUAGCUGGUCUGAGAGGACGACCAGCCACACUGGGACUGAGACACGGCCCAGACUCCUACGGGAGGCAGCAGUGGGGAAUUUUGGACAAUGGGCGCAAGCCUGAUUCAGCAAUGCCGCGUGCAGGAAGAAGGCCUUCGGGUUGUAAACUGCUUUUGUACGGAACGAAACGGUCCGGGUUAAUACCCUGGGCUAAUGACGGUACCGUAAGAAUAAGCACCGGCUAACUACGUGCCAGCAGCCGCCGUAAGAC